AUCGCUGCCAAUUUAUCUACCACUGCCAAUCUAUCUAUUGCUGCUAAUCUAUCGCUGCUGUCAAUCUAUCUAUUGCUGCCUCGCUGCUAAGCUAUCGCUGCUGCCAACCUAUCUAUUGCUGCAAGCUAUCCCUCGCUGCUAAGCUAUCGCUGCCAACCUAUCUAUCGCUGCCAACCUAUCUAUCGCUGCCAAUUUAUCUACCACUGCCAAUCUAUCUAUUGCUGCUAAUCUAUCACUGCUAAUCUAUCGCUGCUAAUCUAUCGCUGCUAAUCUAUCGCUGCUAAUCUAUCGCUGCUAAUCUAUCGCUGCCAACCUAUCUACCGCGGCGAAUCUAUCUAUUGCUGCCAACCAACCUACCACUGCCAACCUAUCUAUCGCUGCCAAUCUAUCGCUGCCAAUCUAUCGCUGCCAACCUAUCUACUGCAGUGAAUCUAUCUAUCACUAUCAUUACUAGUUCAAAAUAGAACUAGAGCAUAAAUACACUAAACUUCUUUUGAUAGGUAAUGAUUUUUGGUAACACUCAUAGCAUUAUAUCAUCUAUAUAGGGUAAAUCAUGGUCCCAUUUGGUCCCAUUUUAACAAAAUGGGACCAAAUGGGAUCAGAAUCAGUAAUUUAUAAGAAGAACAUGACCUGGGACUAGAUUUAUAAUAUAAACAGUGUAAAGUGACUAAUUUAAUAAACACUAUAUGGGACCAGGACUAAGAAAUUUGAUAAUGGGACUGGAGAAAUAUUUAGUCCCAGUCCCAUGCAUGGUCACACGGCC
rnacentral:sRNA from 1 species